rnacentral:lncRNA from 1 species
CGCCCUUGCCUUUGCCCGCGCACGCCCUGCCCUCCUCGCCUCCGACCCUGCCAAGGCUGCGCCACGACCCCUUUUUUAUUUUUUUCCUCUUCGACCCUCCUCCACCCGUUGUCCUCACCGCCACCACCGACGACAAAGAGGAAAUGCUUCUCGGGCCCAGAAGGACCCCGGCGAGGAAGGGGGAGAAAAAUAGUUAUACUUUGACGAGGCAAUGGUUGCAAUUGAUGGCAAGAGAGAGGUCGUGAUAAAAAAAUUAUAGAGCGAAAGAAAAUAAGAAUAAUAAAAAAAUAAAAAUAAAAAAUAAUUUUUUCUACAGGAAAGACCAAAUUAUAGAAGAAGGAAGAAGAUGAUGAAAUUGUACUGCUAAAAUAAA